UAACAAGGAUUCCCCUAGUAACUGCGAGUGAAGCGGGAUGAGCUCAAAUUUAAAAUCUGGCGGUCUUCUGGCCGUCCGAGUUGUAGUCUAGAGAAGUGUUAUCCGCGUCGGACCGUGUACAAGUCUCCUGGAAUGGAGCGUCAUAGAGGGUGAGAAUCCCGUCCAUGACACGGACGCCCGAUGCUUUGUGAGGCACUCUCGAAGAGUCGAGUUGUUUGGGAAUGCAGCUCAAAAUGGGUGGUAAAUUCCAUCUAAAGCUAAAUAUUGGCGAGAGACCGAUAGCGAACAAGUACCGUGAGGGAAAGAUGAAAAGCACUUUGGAAAGAGAGUUAAACAGUACGUGAAAUUGUUGAAAGGGAAACGCUUGAAGUCAGUCGCGUCCCGCGGAACUCAGCCUGGUUUCGGCCUGGUGUACUUUCCAUGGGACGGGUCAACAUCAGUUUCGGUCGGUGGAAAAAGGCGAGGGGAAUGUAGCGCCGCUUCGGUGGCGUGUUAUAGCCUCUCGUCGCAUACACUGACCGGGACUGAGGAUCGCAACACGCCCUUGUGGCCGGGGGUUCGCCUCACGUAACGUGCUUAGGAUGUUGGCAUAAUGGCUUUAAGCGACCCGUCUUGAAACACGGACCAAGGAGUCUAACAUGCUUGCGAGUGUUCGGGUGGAAAACCCUUGCGCGUAAUGAAAGUGAAAGUUGGGAACCUCCGCGAGGGGGUGCACCGACGCCCGGCCCUGACGUUCUCUGACGGUGCUGCGGUAGAGCAAGUAUGUUGGGACCCGAAAGAUGGUGAACUAUGCCUGAAUAGGGCGAAGCCAGAGGAAACUCUGGUGGAGGCUCGUAGCGAUUCUGACGUGCAAAUCGAUCGUCAAAUUUGGG
rnacentral:rRNA from 1 species